ACCUAGAUGUUUUGAUCUGAAAACACUCAAUCUCCUACACGAGAGCCAAGUUUGGAUUCACUAUCGGCAUGGCCAAGUCCAUGAAAAAUUUCCAUGCACUAGCCUUAUUGUAUGUGCUUCUUCUCAUGUACUUUGCUACCCAUGCACAAUGCCAAAUAAAGGAAGAUGUGGAUAAUGAGAAGAUCAAUUUACCUGGAGGACUAUGCUCCUAUAAAGUAAAACUUCGACCAUGUGGUCACGGGUAUUGCUUCUGCUGUUUGGCAAAGAAUAUCUGCUAUAAGACAAUGGAUAUUUGCAAGGAAGAAUGUACGAAAAAAUCUUAUUCCAGCAGACUAGCGCCUGGAAACAAUCCUCCUUUGCCCUCCCAUAAGAUCUAAAAAUAUGAUAUUGGUUUGUUAAGUAAAAAAUAAGUUAUGAAAUUUAUAUGCAGAUGACAAUCAUUGUUGAUUAAGAAUCAAAAA